UAUAAGAGUGCGUAACAUUUUGUUCAUUUUGUGCACAACCACAUUUUAUUCACGAAAGUAUAAACUUGCGCUGUGUUUGUGUAAAUUUAAUUCGUCAAAUGUAAAUAUUUUAAAUGUUAAUGGGAAGAACAAAUUCUUAAAAUGUACAAUAUCUCCAUAUAACAUGCCUGUUAGACUGUCAAUAGACAUAGAAUCCCGUUUUAUUUUUUACGCGGUUUUUUGAAAGGCGAGUCCGAACAAUAUAAAUAGUAAAGGCAAAAAUUUAAAGUUAUAUAAUUAAUUGAAAAAAGUAUAUCGGUUUCGAAUGUCAUACAAUAAUUAUUUUCUUCUUUGGUGUCAAAGUAAACUACAUAUUCGUACAGAAAAUAUUUCACAGUACAUGUCUGUAAAAUUUGUUAAAUAUUCUCAUAAUCGUUUGUUUCAUAUCAUAAAACUGCACGCGACUGGAUGUAGUUAUAAAGAGGCCACAGAGGCUCUGCAACGAACGGUGGCCAAAAGUAUUUUCACAGCAUAUAGCCUGGCAACAACUCACCGCUCGAGCAUAAAAGAAUAUUGAUCAAGCGCCCUAGCAGAUAGACGUAAAGCCUGGUGAACACAAAGACGCUAACAUCCUGCAGAAAAGUUCAACAUGGCUGACAACACCGUACGGUCGGAAGAUGUGUAAGGACAAAAGUGAGAUCGUUGCAUUACAGACACCGGUUUACUGUUAACUGUUGAGUUAUCGAUCCGGACAGAACUUAAGUGUGCACCACUGCAGUAUGAUGACAUUUAAGUUUUAUAGACUUUCAUGCAAUAGUUACUGUCACACAGCUCCGGACAUUGAAAGUGGAAGGACGGAGAACCACACAGAAACAAUAUCGGCGAAUGCUGAUGUAUAUUUGUUUUAAGUUUCGUGAAAUAGGUACUGUGAAAUAGCUCCGGACGUACAACCUUCCUGAAUUUCAAUCUAUUAAGGGGCAAUAAAUUAAUAACGCGUGCACCGCAGUAUGAUUGAACACAUUCAUAUUAAGUUUAAUGAAAUUUAAUAAAUAAUUAUUGAUAAACACCUCCGGACAUCGCCAAAAUAAUAUUCCUUCACUGUCUUAGAAGGGUAAAAAGCCAUCAUAAUGGAGGUGUCAUUUUGUCUACUUACAAGAGUUGGCGCAUUCGGAUUAAAUGCGUAUUCUACAUGCAAUAAUAAAUGCAUGCAAAAAUAAAUAUCUUUCUUGCAACAAGCGUAAAUCUACUGCAAAUCUUAGCAAAACAUUUGCAAACGUAUG